AGUGAACGCUGGCGGUAGGCCUAACACAUGCAAGUCGAACGGCAGCACAGUAAGAGCUUGCUCUUACGGGUGGCGAGUGGCGGACGGGUGAGGAUUACAUCGGAAUCUACUUUUUCGUGGGGGAUAACGUAGGGAAACUUACGCUAAUACCGCAUACGACCUACGGGUGAAAGCAGGGGAUCUUCGGACCUUGCGCGAUUGAAUGAGCCGAUGUCGGAUUAGCUAGUUGGCGGGGUAAAGGCCCACCAAGGCGACGAUCCGUAGCUGGUCUGAGAGGAUGAUCAGCCACACUGGAACUGAGACACGGUCCAGACUCCUACGGGAGCCAGCAGUGGGGAAUAUUGGACAAUGGGCGCAAGCCUGAUCCAGCCAUACCGCGUGGGUGAAGAAGGCCUUCGGGUUGUAAAGCCCUUUUGUUGGGAAAGAAAAGCAGCAGGUUAAUACCCCGCUGUUCUGACGGUACCCAAAGAAUAAGCACCGGCUAACUUCGUG
rnacentral:rRNA from 1 species